rnacentral:rRNA from 1 species
UACAGAGACCUCAAGCGUUAUCCGGAAUUACUGGGCGUAAAGAGCUCGUAGGUGGUUUGUCGCGUUGUUCGUGAAAACUCACAGCUUAACUGUGGGCGUGCGGGCGAUACGGGCAGACUGGAGUACUGCAGGGGAGACUGGAAUUCCUGGUGUAGCGGUGGAAUGCGCAGAUAUCAGGAGGAACACCGGUGGCGAAGGCGGGUCUCUGGGCAGUAACUGACGCUGAGGCGCGAAAGCCAGGGGAGCGAACGGG